ACUCAAAGGAAUUGACGGGGACCCGCACAAGCAGCGGAGCAUGUGGUUUAAUUCGAAGCAACGCGAAGAACCUUACCUGGACUUGACAUCCCUUGGCCCACUUCUUAAUCGAAGUUUUCCCUUCGGGGACCAAGGAGACAGGUGGUGCAUGGUUGUCGUCAGCUCGUGUCGUGAGAUGUUGGGUUAAGUCCCGUAACGAGCGCAACCCUUGUCUUUAGUUGCCAUCAGGUAAUGCUGGGCACUCUAGAGAGACUGCCGUGGAUAACACGGAGGAAGGUGGGGAUGACGUCAAAUCAUCAUGCCCCUUAUGUUCAGGGCUACACACGUGCUACAAUGGCCGAUACAAAGGGUAGCGAAAGAGCAAUCUGGAGCCAAUCCCAUAAAGUCGGUCCCAGUUCGGAUUGUGGGCUGAAACUCGCCCACAUGAAGUCGGAGUUGCUAGUAAUCGUGGAUCAGCAUGCCACGGUGAAUGCGUUCCCGGGUCUUGUACACACCGCCCGU
rnacentral:rRNA from 1 species